rnacentral:lncRNA from 1 species
GAGCACCUCUCCCUCCCUGGCUCACUUUCCUUUCUCUCUCCUCAGCUCUCCGCAUUUGUUUUUCACAUUCUCCAAAGUAUUAUACUUUCUUCCUUUUUCAUACACCUUUGAUAUUUCUAUUUCAUCUCGGCCCUGAUACAUCCAGGUUUUUAGCUAAAAGUUUCUGUGUGCAUGUGUGUGUUUUAUUUCAUCAAGCAGAAUUUAGUCUAUGGUUUGUGUAUUUCAGAAGCUCUGUGUUUCAGCUUCUCUUCCCCUGGUACACUGAGCUCCUGCCCCAAGCUCAGGCCGCCUGUGCAUGACAGGUAUGAGGCCAGCAUUCUGUGAUUCACCUGGAAAACACAAGUCCCCACUUCUUCCUCAUUUCUGUGCCUCUCUGGAGGGAACCCUGGCAGCCCUUGCCUCAGUUUCUGGGACAAUCCAGGCAGCUCUCCAUCACUGGAGAACACCAGAUGGAAUGGAUGGAGGCAAUUUUUCAGAAAGUACUUUAAGAGCGGCUUCCUCAGUGGUCUUUCCAGCUGGAAGCAGAGCGUCCAGAAAGCACCGCAUUCUCAGCGCUGUUUCAUUGCCUCAAGAGCUACAGAUGGCUUCCCCAAGCACCUGAAGUCGAUGCUGCUUGCCUGGAUGGAAUAAGCUGCAAGCUGCAGAAACUCUUGUCUUUUCACAGUGGAACUCAGACUCCAGUUUCUUUCUGCCUUGAGAGUGAAAGAAAGGAGAAGACACAGAGUAGGAAAGAGCCAGAAGGUGGAGAAAUUAAUGUUUAAUGCUUGAUACUCCCGGGGCCUGGCCAGCUGCUCAAAAAAAGGAAGGAGGUGAUGAAGAGAGAAAGAAAGGAUGGAAGGAAGGAGGAAGUGGACAAUGAGCCCAGAGCCCUCACCUGAGUUCCAAACAUUUAAGUCAAACUGCCAACUUCAUUCUCCAUUUGGACGAUUUCUCAACAUGUACAAAACCAAGUCCUGAUUUUUCCGUGACCCCAAAUCUGUUCUAUCUGAAGCCUCCCUAUCUCAGUUACUGAUCCUGGCUGAUGGAUGUAAUGAAGGCAUGAACUAUACUAGUUGAACAAGGAAAUGAACUUGAACCAAAUUGUGAAGUUCUCUGCAGUGAAAUAUUAAAGAUUAGCAAGCUAAACAGAGAAAAAGAUAACACUCAAGAAACUGCCUAUAUGUAAGAGAUUCCUUUGAGAACUUUCAAAUGGCUCCUUUCUACAAAAGACCUGAGAAUACUUAACCCCCCACCACUAGCACACUCAAAGCUCAAGGCAAAUGCAUUUUCAAGAUUGACAGGGUCUUGGACUCUGAAAGUCUUUGGACCCAAGAAAAAUCGUGUUAUCUAAGAGAGCAGUUAUUCUGACACAGACUGAUAUCAGGUGCCUGUGGCAUGAAACACGGAAGAGAAUAAUAGCAUCUACCUUAUAAGAAGACAUACUAUAUUCUGGACCACAUAUCUGAUAAUUCUUACAGCCCUUUAAAGAUAAUCAUAACUAGAAUAUUAUCUUAUUUUGUAGCUCAUAGAUGUCAAAAGACUAGCUCAUAAUUUUAUUGCGGAUACAUAGCAGAACCAAGAUUUGAACUCAGACCUGUCUCAUUCCACAACUCAUUUUCCUUGAAGUCAAUAGAUGCCACUGAUCUCUAAAUACCUACAAAAGGGGCUCGGAGGUGGAGAGGGGAUGUCUGAGGAGCCUUAGGACUACCACCCAAUGUUCUGUCUUUAGAUAGAGAUGCUAUCACCAAUCUCUCUUUCACACAUACUCCUCCUCUUCUCAUUUCUGUUCGUGUACUUGGUUCUCAGUGUAAGAUUUUGUUAGAAGAAAGAGGCAUGUUGGUAAAAUAAGAAAUAAUAUAUCAAAAAUAAAAUAAAAUUGUUUGAAAGUCUCUGCAGUGCUUUAACAAUGAAAGAAGUAUCUAUGCACACUUUAUAGUUUGCUAAAUACAUAAUUGAUUAAGUUAGAA